GACGAACGCUGGCGGCGUGCCUAAUACAUGCAAGUCGAGCGGGCCUCCGGAGGUGCUUGCACCUCCGGAAGGCCAGCGGCGGACGGGUGAGUAACACGUGGGCAACCUGCCUUUGAGGUCGGGAUAACACCGGGAAACCGGUGCUAAUACCGGAUACGUCCUCUUUCGCGCCUGCGAGAGGGGAGAAAGACGGUCUUUAAGGCCGUCACUCAAAGAGGGGCCCGCGGCGCAUUAGCUGGUUGGUGGGGCAAGGGCCUACCAAGGCGACGAUGCGUUGCCGACCUGAGAGGGUGAUCGGCCACACUGGGACUGAGACACGGCCCAGACUCCUGCGGGAGGCAGCAGUAGGGAAUCAUCCGCAAUGGGCGAAAGCCUGACGGUGCAACGCCGCGUGAGUGAGGAAGGUUUUCGGAUCGUAAAGCUCUGUUGUGAGGGAAGAACAGCAUCCGGAGGAAAUGCCGGAGGUUUGCCGGUACCUCACCAGAAAGCCCCGGCUAACUACGUGCCAGCCGCCGCAGUAACAC
rnacentral:rRNA from 1 species